GAUGAACGCUGGCGGCGUGCCUAAUACAUGCAAGUCGAGCGAACGGACGAGAAGCUUGCUUCUCUGAUGUUAGCGGCGGACGGGUGAGUAACACGUGGAUAACCUACCUAUAAGACUGGGAUAACUUCGGGAAACCGGAGCUAAUACCGGAUGAUAUUUUGAACCGCAUGGUUCAAAAGUGAAAGACGGUCUUGCUGUCACUUAUAGAUGGAUCCGUGCUGCAUUAGCUAGUUGGUAAGGUAACGGCUUACCAAGGCAACGAUGCAUAGCCGACCUGAGAGGGUGAUCGGCCACACUGGAACUGAGACACGGUCCAGACUCCUACGGGAGGCAGCAGUAGGGAAUCUUGCGCAAUGGGCGAAAGCCUGACGGAGCAACGCCGCGUGAGUGAUGAAGGUCUUCGGAUCGUAAAACUCUGUUAUUAGGGAAGAACAUAUGUGUAAGUAACUGUGCACAUCUUGACGGUACCUAAUCAGAAAGCCACGGCUAACUACGUG
rnacentral:rRNA from 1 species